rnacentral:rRNA from 1 species
UACGGAGGGUGCAAACGUUGCUCGGAAUCAUUGGGCGUAAAGCGCACGUAGGUGGUUUGUUAAGUCGGGUGUGAAAGCCCUGGGCUCAACCCAGGAAGUGCACUCGAAACUGGCAGACUUGAGUACUGAAGAGGGUCGCGGAAUUCCCGGUGUAGAGGUGAAAUUCGUAGAUAUCGGGAGGAACACCAGUGGCGAAGGCGGCGACCUGGGCAGAUACUGACACUGAGGUGCGAAAGCGUGGGGAGCAAACAGGG